GCAAGAUGGGCAAAGCAAAAGAUAAAGUAGCUUUCAUAUGAGAAAUAGGACAAUAAGAAUAGGAAAGCAAUUACUUUUGCAGAUUUCUAUAAUAUAAAUAGCUUUGUCAGCUUAAAUAUACUGUAUCUGUCACACCUUGAUCUUAAACGCUGUAAUCAAAUGCCAAAGAGAAUGAUGAUUUGUAAAGAAAGUUACAUUUAUUUAGCAUGUUUUCCAUAUUUUAUUAUAAAACUCUUCUAUCCCCAGUAGUUAAUCAUAGCUUUAUAAAACAUUACAUUUGGAAGAGUCUGUCUUAUAUAACUACAAGAGGUACAUUCAGUUCCACUGGAGGGCUUAGUUACAUAGGUGACUGAAAAUUACAGGAUUUUUUUUCCUUUGAUAAUUGCAAUCACAUACUAAAAUGGAAAAAACAAUUAUUUUAUUCAUUUGUUUGUUUCAGAUGUUGCCUGUAUUUUCUUUGGAACAUGCGGUCACAUACUCGAGAUGAACACGAGUAACCAAGGUGGAACUGAGCGAAUCCAAGUCCACAGAAGUGAUUCAGCUUUAGUGGCUGUAAAAUCCAAAUCCAUUUGGCACCAUUGUCUCGGUCCUGUCAGUCCCCUAAGGGCCGACGCGUAGGUUUCUGACUAAGUCAGUAUGUUGCAAUGUUCCAAGCUUUGUUUAACCUUGCUUCAGAUCAUCUGGCAUUUUUUGAAGCGCACAGUUACGCAGAAACAAGAGCCGGGUUCUUGCGUUGGACUGUCCUUGACAGGACUCUUUUCAUGUGCCUGUGGAAGGAUGCACAUACCAGAAAGCAGAACAUGAUUUGCUGUCCUCAGUUACUACGCAACAGGUGACCACUUUUU
rnacentral:lncRNA from 1 species